CCCAGUCCCCCCCUUUUGUCCCCUGCCGAUCGACCCCCUUCUGAGGAACCUACCCCUACAGCUCCUUUCCUACGGCCUUUCUCCAGCCCCCCUCUCCCUGAGUUGGACCCUGCUGAUCUUGGGACAUCCCCAGUAUGUCUUGGCCUUUGAAGGAAAAUAUAAUUGAGUGGGAAAGAACAAAAAGAACGCUAACAGAGUCUCUGUCCAACUCGCUCUCAGAUGACAACUUACUGGACCGAAAAAGAAGGAAGGGAAGAAUGAAAGGAAGAAAUGAGGAGAAAUGGAAAGAAAAGAGACAGCUCGCAGAGUGUUGACCGAGCUCGCUCUCGGAUGUCAACAACUGGACCGAAAGGAAGGAGAGAAGAAAAAGAAAGACAGAAAGACAAACAAGUCUACGACUUUGAGAGCUUCGACCGAACCCGAUCACGGAACCGAUAACUCGGUAAUAGAAUCCAUACCAAACCAAUGGAAAGAAAACAAGGCCAACGUAUAAUGAAAUGGAUGUUUCUUUAUUUACAGUUACAGGGCAGAGGGGGUUCGUCAAUAUCCUUUGUAACCAUUUUCAUCAAAUGCCCUCUCUCUCUCUCUCUCUCUCUCUCUCUCUCUCUCUCUCUCUCUCUCUCUCUCUCUCUCUCUCUCUCUCUCUCUCUCUCUCUCUCUCUCUCUCUCUCUCUCUCUCUCUCUCUCUCUC
ensembl:lncRNA